rnacentral:lncRNA from 1 species
GUGCAUGCAGCCCCUGUCACGUACCCCUUGCUUGACUGAAUCAAUCACGACCCUUUCAUGUAAAAUCUUUAGUGUUGUGAGCCCUUAAAUGGGACAGAAACUGUGCACUCAGGGAGCUUGGAUUUUAAGGCAGUAGCUUGCCGAUGCUACCAGCUGAAUAAAGCCCUUCCUUCUACAACUCGAUGUCUGAGAAGUUUUGUCUGCAGCUCGUCCUGCUACAUUUCUUGGUUCCCUGACCGGGAAGUGAGGUAAUUGACGGACUGCCGAGGCAGCACCUUAGGCGGCUUAGACGUGCCCUGUGGAGCAUCUCUGCGGGGGACUCCAGCCAGCCUGAGUGACGCGAUCCAAACAGCGCUCCUGGGUAGGAAAAUGCCCCAGUGGGAUGCCUCACCAGAGCAGCGCUUGGCAGGCCCCCGCGGAGGAUAAACACAGUGGCUGAACACCAGGAAGGAACUGGCACUUGGAGUCCAGACAUCUGAAACUUGGAAUCCUUCUUGGCACUGGGAAUACAGAGGUGAUGGGCAGGAAAAUUCCCUGAUUUUAUAGAGCUUAAAUUCUUGUAGGAGAGACAGACAAUAACACCUAUCAGAGCUGCUGAGACUGCAUUCUGGGUCUUUUAUCUCAGCUGGAUUAUUCACACCUAAAGAAGACUGACUGAGAUGUGUUGGCGGGCUUCUCAAGAUCCCUAUCGAUGGCAGAAUGCUGACAUGAGUUGCCCAUAGUCCAGGUUUCCCAAUGUAGCAGAUGACUCUAGCGGCUCCAGCUUCAGCAUCAUCUUAAGUUCAAGUGAAAAGGAAAAGAGAAUCUCUUUUUCUUCAAACAAUUUCAAACUAAAAUCUUGAGUCUGACUUUUCCUGGCCAGAAUUAAGCUUGUACUUAUCCCUGAAAAAUCAUCAAUGCUACAGUGAUGAAUUUACCAAUUGAGGCAGAAUUUAGGUCACAUGACGCUCCAAAGCCUCUUCAAAACCGCAUGACUCAGAGUGAGGCAGAAGUAUUUGGGAUAUUUGCAACAGGAGAAGGGUAAAUGAAUGGAGAGUGCCAAAACAACUUAUGUCAAUUAUACAAUUAUAAAUACAACCAAAAUAAAGUAUGGAAAUCAGUAUUUUCACCUAUCUUAACAGAGUGAAAGAUUUAUUCUGUUGAAUAUUUGCCAUAUUUCACUUUCCACAUUCAGCACUCUGCAAUAUUUAAAGAAGAAAAUAAGUCUCCAUAUACUGAAUAAAGACAUAUCAAAAUUUGUGUGACAUCAUAUUCCUUAGUUACAUUUUUUGUUCAUUCAUUUGUGUGUUUGUUUAUGUCACCCACACUAGAUCAUGGUGGUGUGAACAUGGUUCACUACAGCCUCAACAUCCUGGGCCCAAGCAAUCCUCCCACCUCAGCCUCCUGUGUAGCUAAGACCACAGGUGGGCACCACCAUGCCCAGCUACCUUUUAAUUUUUUGUAGAUAUGGGGGUCUCACUUUGUUGCCCAGGCUGGUCUCGAACUCCUGGGCUCAAGCUAUCCCCACAACACUUUGGUUUGGCCUCCCAAAGUGUCGGGAUUACAGGUGCGAGCCAGUGCACUCAGCCUUACAUUUUUUAAUAAAUGAAUUUAAACAAAGAAUAGAAACAUAUUUUUAAACACACCAAUUAACAAACCAAAGUGUAUUGCAAAUUAUUGGAAGGGACAGCAGAGUGAAAAAAUGUUAUCCCACCUGCAGGAGGUGGAAAAGGUGAUAAUAUGAAACAAAUAUUUCCACCUAUCCUAAUAGAGUAAAAGAUUUAUUCUGCUGGAUAUUUUCUGUAUUUUACCUACCUUCCACAUUCAGCACUCUGCACUCUCUUGCCCAACUAUUCCUUUUAAUUUUCCCAUAAUACAACUUUUUAAUAUUUUAUGUAAUAUAUGUAUUUAUUUCUUUCUUUUACUAACUGUGUUUCCUACUGGAAUGUAAGCUUCAAAAAUUCAGAGAUCUUUGUCCUUGUUGCUGAUAUAGCCUACUGUCUAAAAAAAACUUCAGAUAUUUAAUUUUUUUAACUUUUAAGUUCAGGGGUACAAGUGCAAGUUUGUUACAUAGAUAAACAUGUGUCAUGGGGGUUUCUUGUGCAUAUCAUUUAAUCACUCAGGUAUUAAGCUUAGUACCCAUUAGUUAUUUUUUUCUGAUCUUCUCUCUCCUCCUAUCCUUCACUCUUCAAUAGGCCCCAGUGUGUGUUAUUCUCCUCUAUGGGUCCAUAUGUUCUCAUCAUUUAGCUCCCACUUAUAAGUGAGAGCAUGCAGUGUUUGGUUUUCUGUUUCUGUCAGUUUGCUAGGGAUAAUGGCCUCCAGCUCCAACCAUGUUCCUGCAAAGGACAUGAUCUCAUUUUUUUUAUGGCUGCAUGGUAGUCCAUGGUGUAUAUAUACCACAUUUUCUUUAUCCAGUCUAUCAUUGAUGGGCAUUUAUAUUGAUUUCAUGUCUUUGAGAUUGUAAAUAGUGCUGCAGUGAACAUAUGUGUGUAUGUGUCUUUAUAAUAUAAUGAUUUAUGUUCCUUUGGGUAUAUACCCAGCAAUGGGAUUGCUGGGUCAAAUGGUUUUUCUGUCUUUAGGUCUUUGAGGAAUUGCCACACUGUCUUCCACCAUCUUUAUUUCUGCCUUCGUUUCGUUAUGUACCAGUAGUCAUUCAGGAGCAGGUUAUUCAGUUUCCAUGUAGUUGAUCAGUUUUGAGUGAGUUUCUUAAUCCUGAGUUCUAGUUUGAUUGCACUGUGGU